UGUUGUUACUUGKUGUUGUUGAUGACGUUCAUCUCAAGGUGAUGCGUGUCGUGUUACCUGUGUAUCCUUGUUUCGAGCUAUUUAGCUUAAAACAGGUUGAUUAUCGGUUAGUGACACGUCAUCGCUCCCUUGGUUGAUGAAAGUCGUCCAAUGAUGUGGUGGUUUUUUUGGUUUCUUCUCGCAUCGGUCGGUGCAUUCUGUAGUCAUUAUGGCUGUUGGUAGCUUGCUUGGCAAUUGAGCUUGGUGGGUUGCUACUGGUGUGGUGUCUACGGGGAUGUAUAUCGUAAAGGUGCAUGAGUGGUGUUUGGUUUGUUACGGGUGGUUGGCUCUUUGCUUGCGCAACAACUUCUACCUGUCAUUCCUCUUCAGUCUUGUGUCAAUGCUUCUAUUGCAUUGAAUGCACGGUGGGUUUCUUGUGUUGCAUGCCUAAUUAAUGGUAUCGCUUGAUGAAUUGGUAUUUCUUUCGUCUUGUGUCGCCUAAGCGAUGUGAGAUGAACCUUGAAGCARCCUUUGUGAUCCACUCUUUUGAUGCAUACGCAUUGAUUUUGUGGCCCAUUGAGUGUUGCUUGGUCUCAUGGAUAUGGAACCUGGUGUGGGCAUGGAAUCUUAACGGUUCCUUGUUUGCCCAACUUUAGCUUUUCUAAAACGAUUGUCU
rnacentral:misc_RNA from 1 species